UACGAAGGGUGCUAGCGUUGUUCGGAAUCACUGGGCGUAAAGCGCACGUAGGCGGACUUCUAAGUCAGGGGUGAAAUCCCGGGGCUCAACCUCGGAACUGCCUUUGAUACUGGAAGUCUGGAGUCCGAGAGAGGUGAGUGGAACUCCGAGUGUAGAGGUGAAAUUCGUAGAUAUUCGGAAGAACACCAGUGGCGAAGGCGGCUCACUGGCUCGGUACUGACGCUGAGGUGCGAAAGCGUGGGGAGCAAACAGG
rnacentral:rRNA from 1 species